rnacentral:rRNA from 1 species
UUUAUUCCCGUUGAUCCUUCGGGAGAUUGCUGCUAUUAGGGUUCCACUUAGCCAUGCAAGUCUUGGGCUCUUCGCAAGAAGGGACCGGCAAAAGGCUCAGUAACACGUCGAUAACUUUCCCUAAGGACAGGGAUAACCUCGGGAAACUGGCGCAGAACAAGUUUUGCAGAUUGCAAAGCUGGCGCUUUACAAUGAGGCUAAUACCUGAUAGGAGAUUGGUGCUGGAAUGCUCUUUCUCUUAAAGUGCAAACGCCUUAGGAUAGGUCGGCGGCUGAUUAGGCUGUUGGUGAGGUAACGCUGCGCAGAACAAGUUUUGCGGAUUGCAAACUAGCGCUUUACAAGCUCACCAAACCAAAGAUCGGUACGGGGGAUGAGAGUCCUAGCCCGGAGAAGGACACUGAAAAAAGGGUCCUAGCCUUAAGGGGUGCAGCAGGCAGGAAACCUUUGCAAUGCGCGCAAGCGCGACAAGGGAACCCUAAGUGCUCGCCUUAUGGUGGGCUUUUGUUGAGUCUAAAAAUCUCAACGAAUAAGUGGUGGGCAAGACCGGUGCCAGCCGCCGCGGUAACCCCGGCGCCACAAGUGGCAAUCACAUUUAUUGGGUCUAAAGCAUCCGUAGCCGGUUUAGCAAGUCCUUUGUUAAAUUGUUAGGCUCAACCUAACAGCUUCAAGGGAAACUGCUAGGCUUGGGAUCGGGAGGGGAUAGGGGUACUCUUUGGGUAGCGGUAAAAUAUCUCACUUCGUUUGAAUAUAGAUUCAGCGAGUGAAUUUACACUGCGAUAAUCCUUAGAGGACCACCAAUGGCGAAGGCACCUAUCCAGAACGAGUCCGACGGUGAGGGAUGAAAGCUAGGGGAUCAAAACGGAUUAGAUACGACAAAUUCUCCGAAUUUGUGGAGUUAGCUUCGCAAAUUUGCCUGUAAUCUACUAAUGCGAAGAAGAAGCACAAAUGCAAGAUAAGAAAUGAGAAUUUGCUCGCUAACUACCCGAGUAGUCCUAGCUGUAAACGCUGCGAGCCAGGUAUAGCAUCUUCCUCGUGAAUGUGCUGUACCGAAGUGAAGGCGCUAAGCUCGCCACCUGGGGAGUAUAGUCGCAAGACCGAAACUCAGCGGAGUAAACUCCUGGAGUUUACUUCCGUUGUCGGUAAACUUAAAGGAAUUGGCGGGGGCGCACUACAAGGGGUGGAACGUGCGGUUCAAUCAGAUUCUACACCGUGAACCUCACCAGGACCGAUGGCAGAAUGAAAGUCAGAUUAAAGGUCUUACUUAACAGGCCAAGAGGAGGUGCAUGGCCGCCGUCAGCUCGUGUCGUGAGAUGUCCAGUUAUGGAAACCGAGGGUUUACACACUGCAAAAACCCGCGGUUUUUGCUGAGAGUCUGGCAACGAGCGAGACCUACACUUAUAGUUGCAACCAACUUCUCAGGAAGGAUUGGGCACACUAUAAGGACUGCCUUGGAAACAAGGAGGAAGGUGUAGGCAACGGUAGGUGGUAUGCCCUGAAUGUCCUGGGCUACACGCGCGUUACAAUGGCAGGGACAAUGGGAUGCAACUCCGAAAGGAGAAGCUAACCCUCUAAACCAUGCCUUAGUUCGGAUUGAGGAUUGCAAUUCAUCCUCAUGAAGCCGGAAUCCCUAGUAAUCGCUUAUUAGCAGUAAGCGGUGAAUAAGUCAAUGUGCCUUGCACACACCGCCCGUCAAACCAUUCGAGCAGGGUUUUAGUGAGGCUUGGGCUUGUUGCUCAAAACGAACUAAAAUUCAGUAAGAAGGGUUAAGUCGUCACAAGGUACCCGUAGGGGAACCUGCGGGUGGAUCACCUCCUAAA